rnacentral:rRNA from 1 species
GAUGAACGCUGGCGGCGUGCCUAAUACAUGCAAGUCGAGCGAACAGAUAAGGAGCUUGCUCCUUUGACGUUAGCGGCGGACGGGUGAGUAACACGUGGGUAACCUACCUAUAAGACUGGGAUAACUUCGGGAAACCGGAGCUAAUACCGGAUAAUAUUUCGAACCGCAUGGUUCGAUAGUGAAAGAUGGUUUUGCUAUCACUUAUAGAUGGACCCGCGCCGUAUUAGCUAGGUGGUAAGGUAACGGCUUACCAAGGCGACGGUCCGUAGCCGACCUGAGAGGAUGAUCAGCCACACUGGAACUGCGACCAGGACCGGACUACUGCGGGAGGCAGAAGUGGGGAAUAGUGGACGAGGGGCUAAAGCUUGAACCAUCUGUGCCGAGUGUGUGAAGAAGGUCUUCGGAUUGUAAAGCACUUUAAGUUGGGAGGAAGGGCAGUAAGUUAAUACCUUGCUGUUUGGACGUUACCAAAAGAAUAAGCACCGGCUAACUUCGUG